ensembl:ncRNA F45E1.8 ncRNA
AAAACCUGAUAUUCAUUGAUUUUUCAGCGCGAGUAAACCGCAAAAUGCAGAACCAGAAUAUGUAUGAAUGAAUAUUAUGCAGUGUGGUCGCAAAGCUAGAGGGCAACGAGGGCGAAGAGAAAUAGGGGAAUUGAAUCGAAAAUUAGCGAAGAGAGAGAGGAAGAAUAAGUGACUAGGUUGGCUCUCUAUUGUGU